rnacentral:rRNA from 1 species
CAGCAGCCGCGGGAAUACGUAGGUGGCAAGCGUUGUCCGGAAUUAUUGGGCGUAAAGGGCUCGCAGGCGGUUCCUUAAGUCUGAUGUGAAAGCCCCCGGCUCAACCGGGGAGGGUCAUUGGAAACUGGGAAACUUGAGUGCAGAAGAGGAGAGUGGAAUUCCACGUGUAGCGGUGAAAUGCGUAGAGAUGUGGAGGAACACCAGUGGCGAAGGCGACUCUCUGGUCUGUAACUGACGCUGAGGAGCGAAAGCGUGGGGAGCGAACAGGAUUAGAUACCCCCGUAGUCCCUGUCUCUUAUAC